UUCACUGCGGGUAGUUGAAAGUAAAAAAAUGUUUUAGUUCGCGUAUCGGUAAUGAUGUGAUGUUUAAAUUUCGGCGAAGAACACUGAGUGCCUUAUUGACAAAAUAGAUAAAAUAGUGAAAUACGCGCUAAGAAGUGUAUGUACCCAGUGUAACACCGGCCAUCUUCAACCCGAAAUAUGCCGAACUCGAUGCGGGAAAAUUCGCGUGUGUUUUUUUUUAGUUUUUCCCAAUCCCAGUGACGUUUUGCGAAUUGUGAUGAAAACAUGAAUGUGGCGAGGACCAAACACUUUAGUACGCGUUUUAGGAUAAAUGCAAAAAAGCACACAAAUUAGUUAAGAAAAACUGUUCAAACUUGUGGCUGAAAAUUGCCUUGAAAAUUCAUUCAAAACAAUUAGAAAUGAAACAGAUUUUUUAUAACUUCCAAAAAAUUGAUUAAUGCUUUGGAAAAAGUAAAUAAAAAAAACAAUUAAGUUGCACUUUUGCUGCUUGUACUAUAAAACUGAUCUGAAAACUACUUGAGUUAUGUGCGAAAAAAAAACUAAGUAUCAGCAAUGUGUUUUGAACGAGUGUCUGUGAAAAACCGAAGCAAAUUGUGAAUGCAGUGAAAAAUGUCUUGAGACGCUGACGCCCCAAAUAACUGCGAGAUUGUCAUUUCAACCAUCACACAUGGCACCAUGAAGAGUCAGUUUCAACAGUUCUUCACAAUCAUUGGAAACAUCUGCUGAAGUCGGCAUAAGAACAUUUAAUUUCCCCCCACUUGAAACCACGGGCUUAAGGUAAACCAGUUAAACUCCGAAAAAAAAUACCGAACUCCUGCUUGAGGCGAACCGCGACUUGGACACGAAACCCAAAACAUAUGUAUCGAAUGUCGUUGCCAUCAUCAGCGCACGGACAGCCACGAAACAUGAAAAUAAAAGAAGAAAAACAUAAUACAAAAUCUCCUUCUGGAGCUCCCGGACUGACCUAUAAUUAUGAGCACACUCAGGACAUUCCGAGGCCUCCCGGGGGAGGGGAUGAGGAGCCAUCGGGAAAACGAGGAGUAGUAUCGGCUUUCAGUUGUGCGGUCAAAUAGUCACAGUGCUUCUUAUCGACACGUCCCUUAGCCACCAAAAAACGACCAAAAACGCAACAGCAGUUUGAAGGUUCCGUUUUUUUUGUUGUUGAGAGCUUCAAAAGCGUUUCGUGAAAAUAAAAUCCUUCCCCCCAAAAAAAAAGAAACCACCAGAAAACUAAACCAAACGGGCGGGGGGAAAAAGAAAGAAGAAAACAUUGGAAUUUCGCGAGCUUUUGUUUGCUGCUGCGUUUACAAAUUUUUAAAUUCGUUUCGAAGCUAUUUCUUGCUGCUUGCUUUCCGGCACGCAAACGUGGUUUUUGGGGCAUCCUAGCAUGCACCCGAACAGGACGAACGAGAGCUCAUCAACCGUCCUGCUCCAACGGUAGCAAUCUUUGUCCUUCCCAUUCUUGGGUGCAUUUUGAAAAGGUCAAAUCAUGUUUUCAUGUUCGCUUCUACAGGGGGGUGCAAAAAUGCACGCACCAAAAGCGGGUCUUGGCGGGAUGGGGUAAAAAUGCACCGCCCAAUUGCAUUCCUUCGGGCGCAGAAUGUGCGCCGUUUGCUUCUCAAUCUUUGACAUUUCGUUCAGUUCGGAUGCAUGCCACCGAGGAGAGGUACUUUGUUUUAACUUUUGUGAGAAGUUUUUCUCUUUUCGAAUUUUGUGCUUGGUUUGGUUGACUUUUUGAUGAACAAUUUUUACGUCGAUCUUGCUGCUGACAAUAUUGCGACGAUCAAUAUAUGUAAAACGAAUAUCUCAGAUAUAGAAAUUUACAUACACUAACACAAAAUAGGGAGUUAGCUUAAGCGAGGGAAGUCGCAUAAAUAAGCUAUUCAAUAUACGCGAAAAGACUCACUCGUUGCCAUAAAUCGACUUAGACAGCAAAGCCCGCUGCAGAUACCACUUUUCCAACGGCGCUCGAUCGAAUUGAUGUCUCACUCAGGUCGAGAGCCGUGGUGCAUGAUUGAUCAUUGUCCAUAAAACCGUCCAAUUUCCAUAUCGAUGGAAGCGUCUACGAGAAGCCUAAUCUUCCCCCCCCCCCCCCCGUACCACCCAUUUGCCACGUGGUUGAUUUAUUGUCCAGGCCCGAGGAGCAUGAAAUGGUGGGGCCGUCCACCUUAUCGCUCCGCAACACUUUUUCACUCACCGAUGAUGAUCAUUAUGCUGUGGCGUUGAUGUGCCACGGCGAAUAGCCGGCGGGAUCCUUUUGCAAAGGUGCGACCGGAUUGGGACCGGCCACCAAUCAAAAGGCCUGGCGACUACUUCACGGCAAGAGAGUUAAACCUCUGAAGCGUCCUUCCCACGUGCUCAUUUUCGCACCCUGUGUUUUUUUUCUUCUUCGAUCGAUGAGUACAACGUACAAAGCGUGGCUUCACCCAUCGUUCUAAUGAUCGACGGGUUCGAAGAUGUGUGCUCCCCAUCAGCUCCGUUUCUCAUCAUCAGAACGCCAUCCACGUCGUCGUCCGUGUGUCGUAUGUGGGCGUCUCAGAAGGCUCCAGCAGAGGAAGAAGAAGAAGAGGACAAAAACACACACACACCCUGAUUAAUGUUCGAUGAUGUGGCGGAAUCCUUCCCAUGUUCGGUUGGUGUGGGAUUUUGCGUGUCAGAAUGGUAGACACCCGAAGUCAUAAACGGUCGGAUCGUUCGGCGUGUGGGAGAAACAAUUUUUCUUUUUUUUGGGGGAAAGAAUAAUUAACGCUUGUCGGGGUUGAAGAUCAAAAUAAGGGUUGAUGGAGUAGACUGGAUGUAUCGAAAAAGUGAAGGUGCAAGAGCCUAAUGAUCACCGAACGUGACUUUCGUUUGAUAUGAUGGUGAUGAGAAAAGAUUUGGGAUUUUUUUUUCAAAAAUAUUUUAACACCUUUUAUUGGUAGAGUGGUUACGAACAUGAUAUAAAACGUUUUUAUUGCAAUCCAUGGAUGCGUGCUUCCUGAAAGUUACCUAAAAAUUGUCGCUACCUUCAAUGUUUUACACUUCCUUUUUUUGAACGACGGCACAGCCUUAAAGGAAGACAAUCUUCCGGGAAGGCUCUGUCACUGACAUUAACAAGCAUAAUAUGCUACCGUUCGAUGUAGUCCAUCCGAGACCUCACAUAGUCCAGCCUAGGUAGCCUAGUGUUCGAUUCAAUUAACAUUUUCUUCCUUUCGGCACUGCCCAAUGGAAACCUUACCCAUUUAAAAGAAAACUAGAUUCCACCAAACGAAAGCGGUAAUCAAUCUAGGAACAAAUAAAGCGUAUUCGUCUUAUAAUAACAAGCCAUGUGGAGAUGACAUCCAUCACCGAAGCCGUAGACAUCCAGAUGCCCUGUAGCGAAAGGGUUUCUUACCCUUGUUUGAGCAGCUUCACGCGGCACGAAAUAUGAUCUAGCCGCAACUGUGGCGGCGGCGGGUACAGCGCGAAGGGUUAGACAAUUUUAAUUUCACGACAUGACUGUCUCACCCAACCGCCGCGGCGUAGCGUUCCCUCACGGGUGUGUACGAAAGCGAUCGUUCGUUUAAAUUGCGAUGAUAUUUUUAAGCGCAAACCGCACGAAACUGGCCUCCUACCGGCUACGGAAUCGGUCCCGAUGGGCGCGCUCUUCGAUGCUCUUCUCGCUGCGUUGGCGUGCGACGUCCUCACGGUGGGAGGGCUUCACUACACACGAGUGUAAACAAAACACGGCCGUAAUGCUACGAAAGACGACCAUUCUGAAGUGUGUACUUGAUCGCAAUCGAGAAGCCAAACCGGGGCACUCGAGAAGGGUAGAGAAGUGUUUCGCUUUUUGUUGGUUUUUGGUAGAUUGAGAAACUGGUACGUCCGGCAAAUAUGGGUUUUAACAGCUGUCCCUAGAAUGGGCAAAAACAUCCCCCCAAGUAACAAACUUCACCAACAGCUUGACUAUGAAAAUCUUGCAAAAAAAACAACCAUUGUGAUCAACCGAUGGAAUCAAUAGGCAAAACGGAGCAGAGCGAGCAGAAA